rnacentral:rRNA from 1 species
UGGGGAAUAUUGCACAAUGGGCGCAAGCCUGAUGCAGCCAUGCCGCGUGUAUGAAGAAGGCCUUCGGGUUGUAAAGUACUUUCAGCGGGGAGGAAGGUGUUGAGGUUAAUAACCUCAGCAAUUGACGUUACCCGCAGAAGAAGCACCGGCUAACUCCGUGCCAGCAGCCGCGGUAAUACGGAGGGGGCAAGCGUUAAUCGGAAUUACUGGGCGUAAAGCGCACGCAGGCGGUUUGUCAAGUCGGAUGUGAAAUCCCCGGGCUCAACCUGGGAACUGCAUUCGAAACUGGCAGGCUAGAGUCUUGUAGAGGGGGGUAGAAUUCCAGGUGUAGCGGUGAAAUGCGUAGAGAUCUGGAGGAAUACCGGUGGCGAAGGCGGCCCCCUGGACAAAGACUGACGCUCAGGUGCGAAAGCGUGGGGAGCAAACA